AAAUAGCUCACUAGUCGAGAGGUCCUGCGCCGAAAAUGUCCGGGGCUGAAACACGACACCGAAGCUGUGGAUCCGAAAGGAUGGUAGAGGAGCAUUCUUAAGUCGACGAAGCUGUACUGUAAGGAGCAGUGGAGAGUUAAGAAGAGAGAAUGCCGGAAUGAGUAGCGAGAUUUAAGUGAGAAUCUUAAAGGCCGAAUAUCUAAGGUUUCCAGGGUAAAGCUGAUCUUCCCUGGGUAAGUCGGGGCCUAAGGCGAGGGCGAGAGCCGUAGUCGAUGGAUAACAGGUUGAAAUUCCUGUACUGCUUAUGGACAGAACUGUGGGGACGCAGAAGGAGAGCACGAGCCGGAAAUGGAAAAGCCGGUACAAGCGUAUAGCAGUCAUGCAGGCAAAACCGCAUGAAAAAUGUAAAGCGUUAUGUGGAUCGAACAUUAGUAGAGAAGCGUGUGAGCCAGCUGCCAAGAAAAGCCGCUAUUGUUUCAUAAGUACCCGUACCGUAAACCGACACAGGUGGAUGAGGAGAGAAUCCUAAGGCCGGCGGGAGAAGUGUUGUUAAGGAACUCGGCAAAAUGACUCCGUAACUUCGGGAGAAGGAGUGCCACAGAGAUGUGGCCGCAGAGAAAUGGCCCAAGCAACUGUUUAGCAAAAACACAGGUCUAUGCAAAACCGAAAGGUGAGGUAUAUGGGCUGACGCCUGCCCGGUGCUGGAAGGUUAAGAGGAGAGGUUAGAGCAAUCGAAGCUUUGAAUUUAAGCCCCAGUAAACGGCGGCCGUAACUAUAACGGUCCUAAGGUAGCGAAAUUCCUUGUCGGGUAAGUUCCGACCCGCACGAAAGGCGUAAUGAUUUGGGCACUGUCUCAACAAUACACCCGGUGAAAUUGAAAUACCAGUGAAGAUGCUGGUUACCUGCGCCAGGACGGAAAGACCCCAUGGAGCUUUACUCCAGUUUGAUACUGGGAUUCGGUACUGUCUGUACAGGAUAGGUGGGAGGCUAGGAAAUGGUGACGCCAGUUGCCAUGGAGCCAACCUUGGGAUACCACCCUUACAGUACUGGGUUUCUAACCUGCAGCCGUAACCCGGCUGGGGGACAAUGUCUGACGGGGAGUUUGACUGGGGCGGUCGCCUCCGAAAGAGUAUCGGAGGCGCUCAAAGGUUCCCUCAGAACGGUUGGAAACCGUUCGAAGAGUGCAAAGGCAGAAGGGAGCUUGACUGCGACACCGACGGGUGGAGCAGAUACGAAAGUAGGACUUAGUGAUCCGGUGGUAUAAAGUGGGAUUGCCAUCGCUCAACGGAUAAAAGCUACCCUGGGAUAACAGGCUUAUCACUCCCAAGAGUUCACAUCGACGGAGUGGUUUGGCACCUCGAUGUCGGCUCAUCGCAUCCUGGAGCUGUAGCAGGUUCCAAGGGUUGGGCUGUUCGCCCAUUAAAGCGGUACGCGAGCUGGGUUCAGAACGUCGUGAGACAGUUCGGUCCCUAUCCGGCGUGGGCGUAGGAUAUUUGAGAGGAGCUGUCCUUAGUACGAGAGGACCGGGAUGGACAAACCUCUGGUGUAUCUGUUGUUUUACCAAAGGCAUGGCAGAGUAGCCAAGUUUGGCAGGGAUAAACGCUGAAGGCAUCUAAGCGUGAAGCCCCCCUCAAGAUAAGAUAUCCCAUCUUCGGAGUAAGACCCCUUGAAGACUACAAGGUUGAUAGGCUUCAGGUGUAAGUGCGGUAACGCACUCAGCUGAGAAGUACUAAUAGGUCGAGGACU
rnacentral:rRNA from 1 species